GAUGAACGCUGGCGGCGUGCCUAAUACAUGCAAGUCGAGCGAACAGACUAGGCGCUUGCUCCUCUGUCGUUAGCUGCGGACGGGUCAGUAACGCGUGGAUAACCUACCUAUAAGACUAGGAUAACUUCGGGAAACCGGAGCUAUUACCGGAUCAUAUAUUGAACCGCAUGGUUCUAUAACGAAAGACGGUUUUGCUGUGCCUUAUACAUGGAUCCGCGCCGCAUUAUCUAGUUGGUAAGGUAACGGCUUACCAAGGAAACGAUGCGUAGCCGAUCGGACAGGGUGCUCGGCCACACUGGAAGUGGGAAUCGGCCCAGACUCCUACGGGAGGCAGCAGUAGGGAACCGUGCCUCAUGGGCGCAGGCCUGAAGGAGCACCGCGGCGUGAGGGAGGAAGCGCUCUGGAUCGUAAAACUCUGUCAGUAGGGAAGACCAAAUGUGUAAGUAACUAUGCACAUGUUGACGGUACCUAAGCAGAAAGCCACGGAUAACUUCGUG
rnacentral:rRNA from 1 species